rnacentral:lncRNA from 1 species
CUAUCGAGAGUGAGGAAAUAUCGAUUUUAUAAUCGAUAAUGUGUAAUGUGUCAGUGUAUAUCGACCUUGUACUUCAGGAUGUAAAGGCCAUUGACACUGAACUCCACCUGUUGCUUUUGUUUUGUUUGCGUGGAUCCCGAAUGUCAUUAGUAAGUAACCUCACUUGCAUUUUACACGUAGAACCUGUUAAGUUUGUGCUACUGCAAGACAGCUGCCUAGUGGGCCCCGUUUAAGCAUCACCAGUCACUGAUACAUACUAAUAAAAUGCCGAAGGUACUGAAAGGUGGCAAACAAAAAAUCACAUCAAAAGAAAAGCAAAAAUUGAAAAAAGAGUAUCAAGAAACUCAGAAGCAACUAAAAACCAUCGUACUACCGGCUCUAGGGGUAGUUUUCCUAUUCAUCGUAGUCUAUGUGUACCUGAAGACCAGGCCUAUCAGGAGCAACUUCGACUGACGUAAAUCAUCCCCCUUCCCACAUAAACAUUAAGGGAAAUGUUUAAGGCGCAAUAGUUUCUAAUUGUUUUAUUUUGUACAAAAUAAAUAAAUAUUUUCUUAAAAACCUUGAUUAUUUCCGUUUGAUUUGAGAAGCGAAAUCCAUAAGCUUGUAAGUCAUACGAAACAUAUACACAAAAUACAAAUGUUUGAUUCUAGUAUAGCUAGCUAGGCGAUUAAAGUAUGAAAACCUGUAACUUCUUAAUCGAAGCUGUAAGUAAAUAAGUACAUGUUUUGGACCCGACAUUCAUAGAUUUACAAUAAACAACCUAAACUAGG